rnacentral:rRNA from 1 species
CCUACGGGUGGCAGCAGUGAGGAAUAUUGGUCAAUGGACGAGAGUCUGAACCAGCCAAGUCGCGUGAAGGAUGACUGCCCUAUGGGUUGUAAACUUCUUUUAUAUGGGAAUAAAAUGUUCCACGUGUGGGAUUUUGUAUGUACCAUAUGAAUAAGGAUCGGCUAACUCCGUGCCAGCAGCCGCGGUAAUACGGAGGAUCCGAGCGUUAUCCGGAUUUAUUGGGUUUAAAGGGAGCGUAGGUGGAUUGUUAAGUCUGUUGUGAAAGUUUGGGGCUCAACCGUAGAAUUGCAGUUGAAACUGGCAGUCUGGAGUACAGUAGAGGUGGGCGGAAUGCGUGGUGUAGCGGUGAAAUGCUUAGAUAUCACGAAGAACUCCGAUGGCGAAGGCAGUUCACUGGACUGUAACUGACACUGAGGCUCGAAAGUGUGGGUAUCAAACAGGAUUAGAUACCCUGGUAGUC